rnacentral:rRNA from 1 species
CCUACGGGUGGCAGCAGUGGGGAAUAUUGGUCAAUGGACGCAAGUCUGAACCAGCCAUGCCGCGUGAAGGAUGAAGGCCUUCUGGGUUGUAAACUUCUUUUAUUGGGGAAGAAACCUCCGAUUUCUAUUGGAGCCGACGGUACCCAAGGAAUAAGCACCGGCUAACUCCGUGCCAGCAGCCGCGGUAAUACGGAGGGUGCAAGCGUUAUCCGGAUUCACUGGGUUUAAAGGGUGUGUAGGCGGGCAUUUAAGUCAGUGGUGAAAUCUCCAGGCUCAACCUGGAAACUGCCGUUGAUACUAUUUGUCUUGAAUAUCGUUGAGGUAGGCGGAAUAUAUCAUGUAGCGGUGAAAUGCUUAGAUAUGAUAUAGAACACCGAUUGCGAAGGCAGCUUGCUAAACGAUUAUUGACGCUGAGGCACGAAAGCGUGGGGAUCAAACAGGAUUAGAUACCCCUGUAGUC